UUUAUUUCCUCAUUUCCGUCUUUAUCCUUCACAGAAUCACAGCUACCACCAACAGAGCAAGGGGGCGAGUGAAAAUGCCGGCGGGUCAUGGUCUUCGUUCUCGAACUCGCGAUUUGUUCUCUAGGCCCUUCAGGAAGAAGGGUUACAUUCCUUUGACAACCUAUCUCAGGACCUAUAAGAUUGGUGAUUAUGUCGAUAUCAAGGUGAACGGCGCCGUCCACAAGGGUAUGCCUCACAAGUUCUAUCAUGGUCGCACCGGUCGUGUCUGGAACGUUACCAAGCGUGCUGUUGGCGUUGAGGUCAACAAGCAGGUAUAAAUAUGGAGUUUUUUUUUUUCUCCCUUUCUGAUUUGGUAUUUAGGUUUAUUUGGGUACCUCAAAUCAAUGAAAGAUUGGGUUAUUUAGUUUCUUUGGUACUGAUAUGCAACUUAUGCUCAUGAACUGGGUUUUUCUUUGAGCUGAUUUUUCUAGUUUUUAAUUGUAAUUUUGAUUGUUGUGUGUUUAGUCAUUAGGUUUUCGAUUUAUUAUAUAUUUCUGGCCCUGUAAUUAUGUAAUGGUUCAAGAUGUGUAUAUAUUUUCAAUCCUUUUCUGAGGGGAGAUAAUAGUUAAAUUUGUGGGAAUCUAAUGAUUUUGAUUAUGUUGCUGAUGAUACUACUUGUGAUUAGGUGUGCUCGAAUGUUUGUGUUUGUAGCUGUUUGGAUCUUGGAUUUGGACGUUCACUUUGAUUUACUUCAUUUUGUUUGGUAUUAUGCAGUUGCAUGAUUUCAGCUUGAGAUGAUAUUAUAUGAGGUGAAAGGGGGCUGUUGAACCCUUGACUUCUUGCUCUAUAGAGCGUGUGCUCGACCAGUGGGAUAUUACUAAGGGUUUUCUGAUUAUUCCGCCACUGAUUCAAGUUUUCAGAUUUUAUUAUGGGUUUUGUUGUCUUGUUUCAUGUGUCAUAUCUAAUGCUAGUUUAACAGAUAUAGACUUUGCAAUUUUGCCUUGGUGUUCUUAUGUUUGGUUUAUAGUUUUCAAUUCGAUUGCUGAUUUUCGUGGAUGAUUAUUUACCAUCUGAAUGACAGGAUUGAUUGACAUUAGAGAGAAAUCAAAUAAACAGACUUAUGUUUUGAGUUGUUAUAACUGAAUCAUUGUUUAACCUUCGUUGUGUAUUCUGUUUGACACUGACACGCAUAUUUGCUGCUCUUUGCUUGUGUGUAUGCUUUGUUGUCAGCUGUGAAUAAUAAUUAUGGAUGUUAUUUGCCUAUAAUAGGUGGGUGGCAGAAUCAUAAAAAAGAGGAUCCAUGUUCGGGUGGAGCAUUUGCAGCCUUCAAGGUGCACAGAGGAAUUCCGUCUAAGGAAGAAGAAGAAUGAUGAAUUGAAGGCCCAGGCAAAGGCAAGAGGUGAGGUCAUUAGCACAAAGAGGCAGCCAGAAGGCCCUAAACCUGGUUUCAUGGUUGAGGGUGCACAGUUGGAAACUGUUACGCCCAUCCCGUAUGAUGUUGUUAACGAUCUCAAGGGUGGUUACUAGGUCUACAAUUUCUAGGUUUUUUUCAUGCUGUUUGGUUUGUGUUGCCAACUUUUGUUGACUGGAUUAGUUUAUUCAUAUGAGCCUCAACUACUGUCAGUUUUGAAGAGGUAUUUGGAGAUUUAUGCAUAUGCAAAGAUGCAUGGUUUAUUUCAUUUCCUCUUUAGAUAUAAUGGGAGUUUUUCUAUUCAAAUUUGCAUAUUUCCUUUUGAAAGAUUUCUUAUAGUUCACAUUCCAUUAACAGUUUUUAAAUCAAAUGUCAUUCUUUAAUUAUAGUCACUCUAGAUUUUUGCGUAACAUGGGUGGCUUUCGAGUAGAGGUAAGUUUUUAAGAUUUUGAAAUUUUGAUUCUAAUACUCUGAAAAUAUUGUAUCUGUUUGUUUGUAAUGCUCAUUAGCAGAGUGCAAGGAAGAUAUAACAAUGAGUUUGUGAAAUUACUUGUGCAUCAAACUGUUCAAGGUAAUUCCUUGAUGAAUUUUGAACAUCAUUAUGUCUUUUUUGGUCAUUCUGAAAGAUCAUUAGAAAAUAGUCUAUGGAAUUCCCCUGACAAAAUUGAUUACUUCGAAAAUUAAAGAAAUAAUCUUGCAAGAUUAUUGUAGGCUCUCCUUGUCCUUUUGGACCUUGCAAGAAAGGAAUAGUCUUUAGGCCAACUGGCAACGUCGUACUGUUGGGGUAAAGUGGCCUACAUCCCUAAUGUCUCCUAUUAAACAGAAGCAUUGGCCCAGAGUUUCAUGCUCCCAGCCCAUAGUAGUGUACAGAUUUCUUUUGUAAGCAAACAAGAAUAUGAAUCUACGCUUGUGUGAACAGUUUGAACUGCUUGAUCAAUAUUUUGUUAAUGCUGGUAUGCCAGUGCCAAAGAAAUUUUCUAUGAAUUAUGUGGUCGGUUUAAUGUCCUAAGAAAGUUAAUGAGGAAAGAUCUUGGUGAGCUAGCUAAUCGACACAUAUUUGCAUUGGUGGCACAUUUUCCUCAGUUAUUUUGUUGUUGUCUCAAUGAAGUUGCUUCACCUUCUGCAUGGGAAAAAGAAAUUCCAAAAGAAAGUCAGUACAAAGAAAAGAAUAUAUGCUCAACAGCUGAAGAAAAGGAGCUUAAUUAUGACAAGUACUACAGAAGUGACUUGGGGAUCUAAGAUACAGUUUAUUCCCUUGUUGAAAAUAUUCACUUGUGUAAUUUAUUUGUACUGGGAAUCUCUUUAUUUAUGAAAAGAAAGCUCAGUUGGGCCUUAUAAGCAAAGAGGAGAAACUAACUUUUGGAGGACUCUGCUCCAACCAAGAGGAAGAAGCUGAGUCUGUUUAGGUCACCAAGUUGAGGUUGAAGAUGAGGCUAUUCUAUGUUCUCUUGUCUAUUCUGCUCCUCCUUAUUUCAGGUUCUUCUCUUGGAAUCAGAUAUGCAAUUCUAUAUAUCAAUUACAUAUAUUUUUUCUUUGCUUUUUUAGCUCUCUCUCCUCCCCAAAUACACACAUACAUUGCUGAAGCAAAAUAUAUCUUUGGUUUCUAAAGAAUGUCAUUUAGCUGUGCAUUAGUUGUUUUUUCUCAGAUAUUUAAUCUCAUUUGGACAAUAAAUUUUAAUUUAGCUUUUGGGUAAGAUCAAUUUUAUCCUGACAAAAGAAUUUCUUGGAAACAGCUGAGUUCACCCAAUCUCUAGCAGUUCGCAGGGCUCAUGCAGUGAGGAUACCAGAACACACAUGCCAUAAAACGCUAAACAUCAACACUUGUAACUUGCAGAAAUGCAAUGAAGAAUGUGCCAAAGAACCACUAGGUGUGGGAGAUUGCAGAAAUACCUUAUGUUUUUGCACAUACUAUUGCAAACAACCUCCAUUCUAACACAAUCCCAUUUGGCUUUGGCCGAGUCUAUCUUCUUCUGGGGAUUAUGUCCAAUGACUGCCCAUUUGGGUAAUGAGAUCACAGCUUUUGUAUAACCCUAAUAUAUUUUGGUAGAAAGUCAUUUAAAUAUUUUAAUUUUACUCUUUUGCCAUCCAAUUUCUCUUUUUGGGAAUAUAUAAUAGGGUGGUAAAUUAUGGGGUCAGUUUAUAUUCCAG
rnacentral:misc_RNA from 1 species